rnacentral:tRNA from 1 species
AAGCCCCGGCGCCACUCUGGCGCGUCUCCGGACUUGCAUUCCGACGUGUGCUCACCUCGGGGCU